rnacentral:rRNA from 1 species
GAUGAACGCUGGCGGCGUGCCUAAUACAUGCAAGUCGAGCGAACAGACGAGGAGCUUGCUCCUCUGACGUUAGCGGCGGACGGGUGAGUAACACGUGGAUAACCUACCUAUAAGACUGGGAUAACUUCGGGAAACCGGAGCUAAUACCGGAUAAUAUAUUGAACCGCAUGGUUCAAUAGUGAAAGACGGUUUUGCUGUCACUUAUAGAUGGAUCCGCGCCGCAUUAGCUAGUUGGUAAGGUAACGGCUUACCAAGGCAACGAUGCGUAGCCGACCUGAGAGGGUGAUCGGCCACACUGGAACUGAGACACGGUCCAGACUCCUACGGGAGGCAGCAGUCGGGCAUCUUCCGCAAUGGGCGAAAGCCUGACGGAGCAACGCCGCGUGAGUGAUGAAGGUCUUCGGAUCGUAAAACUCUGUUAUUAGGGAAGAACAAAUGUGUAAGUAACUAUGCACGUCUUGACGGUACCUAAUCAGAAAGCCACGGCUAACUACGUG